rnacentral:misc_RNA from 1 species
AAAGAAAUCCUGGCCAUCGAGAAUGGUAUCAAAAAGUUUGAGUUCCAUCUCAUAGGACAUUGCUUUUUGAACAUAAUGAACAACUCAUCCUUCCCUUGGAUUCUUAAUUUCAAAAACAAGAGUCUCUCAUAAUCAUAACUUUUAAGGAUAAAAAAUUGAUUUUGAAGUUUGAGUACAUUGUCUAACAUAUAAAAGAAGACCUCAAUCUCAUUCCUUAUCUCCUCACUAGACCAUAAAAUAUCCAACUAAUCACCCCUAUCCAAACUUUCCCUUUGAUUUUCAUAGCUAGUUUUUCUCGACUACCUGGUUCUCACACGCUUCUCAGAUUGAUACCGACUGCAGAAAGUUUUUCAUUGGCUAAAAUGCCUCGUUGACUUUGUGCCAAAUCGCAAAUUUUGCAAAAAAUAAUCUAUUUCACUUUUAGAACCUCUCUAAUGUUCUCAGAAAUGUCAGGGAUACAAAAAGCAAGUUUCAUCCAAAAACUCCAUUUCUUACAAUCUUUUGUUUCAGUCCUUAUGAAGAUUUGCUUUA